GUACACGCUGUGACUAGCAUAUCAAUAAGCGGAGGAAAAGAAACUAACAAGGAUUCCCUAGUAACGGCGAGUGAAGCGGGAAGAGCUCAAAUUUGAAAUCUUAAAGGGUUUCCCUUUACGAAUUGUAGUUUAAAGAAGUGUUUUCUGUUGAGGUUUUGGUAAAAGUUCUUUGGAAUAGGACAUCGUAGAGGGUGAGAAUCCCGUAUUUGACCUUUACUUUCAACUUUGUGAUACACUUUCAAAGAGUCGGAUUGUUUGGGAAUGCAGUCCAAAAUGGGUGGUAAAUUUCAUCUAAAGCUAAAUAUUGGCGAGAGACCGAUAGCGAACAAGUACCGUGAGGGAAAGAUGAAAAGAACUUUGAAAAGAGAGUUAAACAGUACGUGAAAUUGUCAAAAGGGAAGCGUUUGACACCAGUGUUGUUUUUCUGAAAAUCAAUUAAAGAACUGUUUAUGCUAAGUUGUUUAGACUUUAUCAGCUAACUGUUUAGUUUUGAGCUUUUCUUUAAUGCACUUUUCAGUUAACAAGUCAACAUCAAUUUCUUUUGCUGUAAAAAAGCUUGAGGAGGGUGGCUUGAGAUUCGUCUUAAGUGUUUAUAGCCUCUUGCCUAUGCAGUCGGAGAGAUUGAGGUCUGCAGCGUAGAUCCUUCGGGGCUAAAUGCAUUUGUGCUAAGUUAUAGCAUUUUAUAGACAACUUGUUGACUAUGAUUUGUCUUGUAGCUUACUCGCUUAUGUUAUUUUACCUACGCUUAGGAUGUUGACUGAUAUGUAGUCGUA
rnacentral:rRNA from 1 species